rnacentral:rRNA from 1 species
ACUCAAAGGAAUUGACGGGGGCCCGCACAAGCAGUGGAGAAUGUGGUUCAAUUCGAUGCAACGCGAAGAACCUUACCUGGGUUUGAAAGGCAAGUGACAACCGAUGAAAGUCGGUCUCGUAGCAAUACGCACUUGUACAGGUGCUGCAUGGCUGUCGUCAGCUCGUGCCGUGAGGUGUUAGGUUAAGUCCUGCAACGAGCGCAACCCCUGCACUUAGUUGCCAUCAGGUCAAGCUGGGCACUCUAAGUGGACUGCCUACGCAAGUAGUGAGGAAGGUGGGGAUGACGUCAAGUCCUCAUGGCCCUUACACCCAGGGCCACACACGUUCUACAAUGGAUGGGUACAAAGGGUUGCUAAGCCGUAAGGUGGAGCCAAUCCCAAAAAACCAUCCUCAGUUCGGAUUGGGGUCUGCAACUCGACCCCAUGAAGCUGGAAUUGCUAGUAAUCGCGUAUCAGCAUGACGCGGUGAAUACGUUCCCGGGCCUUGUACACACCGCCCGU